AUUACUUUGGCAGAAUAGUGUUUUAAAUUUAGAAUUUAAUUAUGUAUAUAAAAUAUACAAGUAAUA
rnacentral:tRNA from 2 species